GUAGGUGGCGAACGUUAUCCGGAAUUAUUGGGCGUAAAGGGUGCGUAGAUGGCCUGAUAAGUUAACAGUGGUAAAUCGAGGCUCAACCUCGUGGAAACUGAUAAUACUGUCAGGCUCGAGUGCAGGAGAGGUUAACGGAACUCCAUGUGGAGCGGUAAAAUGUGUAGAUAUAUGGAAGAACACCAAUAACGGCGAAGGCAGUUAACUAUUCUGUUACUGACAUUGAGGCACGAAAGCGUGGGGAGCAAAACGGAUUAGAUACCCGUGUAGUCCACGCCCUAAACGAUGAGUGCUAGAUAUUGGGAACUUGAUUCUCAGUGUCGCUAGAUAACUCGGUAAGCACUCCGCCUGGGUAGUACGCUCGCAAGAGUG
rnacentral:rRNA from 1 species